rnacentral:Y_RNA from 1 species
AGCCUCCCAAAGUACUGGGAUUACAGGCGUGAGGUACCUCGCCCAGCCCCAGUUACAGAUUUCUUUGUUCCUUCUCUCUCCCACUGCUUAACUUGAUUAGCCUUUA